rnacentral:tRNA from 1 species
UUCAGGGCUCAAUCGGUAGAGUGCUUGCCUCACAUGCACAAACCCUGGGUUCAAUCCCCAGCACCAAAAA